ACCCACGGCGAACGGCUGCGUAACACGUUGGUACGUCCCCCGAACUCAGGGAUAUCCCUCCGAAAGGAGGAGUAAUACCGGAUGCCCUCGCAAGAGGAAAGAUUUAUCGGUUCGGGAGCGGCCUGCGGCCUAUCAGGUAGUUGGUGAGGUAACGGCUCACCAAGCCUAUGACGGGUAGCGUGAUUUGAGAGAAUGAUCAGCCAGAAUGGAACUGAGACACGGUCCAU
rnacentral:rRNA from 1 species